UAGAGCAAGGAAAACUGAAAUUUGGGCUAAAAUGGAAAAAUACCAAGUUGUGGAUGAAAUGGUAAAAGUAGCCAUUUUCGCAUACGAGUUUUGAACAAGCCAGCUCGGGAAUCGGGACGGGUCGAAGGUUCGAUCACACUAUCCAAAGGACUUUCAUCUGGGUAAAUGGCUUGUAAAACUUAAGUAUGGCAUGUAUAGCAAUAUAUUUAUUUUGUAUAAAUAAUUUUAUGAUAUGGCCAUGAUUGGUUGAGAAAAUGUUUGAUAUUGAUAA